GUAAAUUUAAAUGCAGUCCAGAGUAGUGAAGGCCGUUUGUAAGGUCUGCUGAGCUAAUGGAUUCAUAAUGACUUUUAAAGCUUCACUCGGUACAUCCUAUGUGCCAGACACUGCGAUAGGUUCUGGAGAUAACAACAGUGUCCAAGAAACAACAGUGUCCAAGAAACAGGACUUUCCCUCAAAGAGCUUACUGGGGAAGCCAGCAAGACCAGCAGACAAACACAGCUGCACUGGGGGAGAGCCUGCUGAAGCUGCUUGAAUCUCAACACUGUCAUACCCGCCAUCUCAUUAUCUACAGCCACAUCUAAAACCCACAUGAAAUACCAAGUCACACGCGGCUCUGGGAAAGACAUUUUACAGAGACCAUCUUAUGAGUUUUUAAUCUGCCUCCUGAGAACUUACAAUCUAAGAAAUAGAAAACUGAUUCCAGUAAGCAUGCCCAGAAUAUGCUAGCAGCAAGAUUAAAACAUGAAACUAUGAAUGUUAAGGUAUUUAUAACACGCAUCGUUUAAUAGGAUAACAUUUUUCUUAGCAGGAAGGAGCAAAUUUAAGUGCAUUCAGACGUGGGAGAGGGAGAUUGGCCAGCUAAGGAGAUUGGACAGGGUGGAUGCGGAGCUUCUAAGUCCAGAGGAAAACAAAUGAUCAGCUCACGGUAACCCGGGUAGCCGGGCCUUCCACAGCGCUGAUUCCACAGUCUAAAACUUCUAGACCUUCAGGUGGCCGGUUCAAUGUUUCCGUUUAGGUCAUGAGCUCGGCAACAAAUUAAGUAAAGUGUCCCCAGUAAAUGCUGAUAAGCCCCAGGAGGAAACAGGGGCAUCCCCACGCAUACCAAAUGCACUCAUUAGCAUCCCUGCUAUUAUGAAGAAUAGCAAAAUGACCUUGCAAUCAUUAGAAGCUUAAAAUGCUAUGACUUAAGUUUAGAAGGACACAUAUUACAUUGUAAAACCUAAUUAGUGUUACCUUUGCUAAUUGCUGCCUGGCACUGAACUGGAUAAAAUCAAUGCAUGACGGACGUUCCGGGGCAUCAGACAUAACCCCAUCACUAUUUUUAAAAGAAGUAAAAUUAUAGAAGAGCCUUUUGAAAAGGUGUUUUUAACUGAGUUGUUUGACGGAUGUGAGGGAAGCGUGGGCAGUCCAUGCAUUUAUUUGUAUGAAUCCUAAAUGCUGAAAUCUUCUCCCAAGAACACUGUUCUUCUCCUGUACUUCUUUAAUGUAAAUGCGAGAAUAUCAAACAACGGGGGAAAUUACGACAGCGUCAAAAUCCAACCACAGCAUGAAAACAGCUGUGCAGGGAUAUAGUGAAAUCCUAUCCCACAGGCAAUUAGAAUACUCAGCCCUAUCCUAGCCCGAUUCUGCAGCAGGGAUGCCAGGCAGUGCUCUGUGUCUAGGAGCAGGUUCAUCCACUAGAUAAGCUCUACCCGAGCCUCUCUUUUGUCCUCUCUUGAGUAGGUCUCGAGGGCUGUAUGCACUACCGUGGAAAUGUCAAUGAAGCCAGACCCUUCUCCUAUCUGGAGGCUGUCAUGGCCAUAGUGCUGGGGGCAUAGAAGUCAGGUCAUGCUGUAGUUUCUACUUGGCUACUGGAGAUGAAAUCAACCAGAGAAAAGGGGUCAUGCCUCCAGCCACACCUGCCCACCGGAAACACACACACAUAAUACAUACACACGUGCACAUGCACACACACGUGCACAGAGCCAGGCCUUACUUCUAGCUGUGCUCAGCAUUUGUAAUAAGGCUGUGAAAAGAAAAUCAUUUUCUCAGGGUUGCUUUUUUUCUUCCUUAAGGAUAAAUAAUAGCUGAUUUUUCAAGAAAAAAAAGCUGCCACUUGUGCCUCUCCCAGGGCCCCUCCUGAGCAUAUCCUAAAUGGUACAGAUUAAAAUCGAGUCAUAAAACUUACAAACCACAAGCAGUGAGAAAGACAGUUGGGAGUUCUGCUUCCACGGUGGGUCCUGAGGAGGGCUGGGGUCCCCUGGAGUCCCUCAGCUUCUGCUGAGCAGGAGGGUACGAAGGGGAUGAAGAAAACAGAGCAGGCAGGGACCACCCUCAGGCAUGGCAGCCCCUCUUAGCUAUUUUAAAUAUUGUUCCCUGUAAAAUUUCAAUUAGGAAAGGAAAGCUUCUACUGCUAAAAAUUAUUGGAAGAUCACCAAGAAGCCAUUGAGGCCAAGGGAGGCUAAGUGGCCUCUCUCUGGUGCACAGAGACACUGAUAGAGCCAGGAUCAGAAUUCAGGCACCCAGAGUCCAGCAUUCUGUCUCCAGCUGGGCAUGGAAGGAAGGGGAAGGGAGCCAACCAUUCCCAAUGCUGGCAGUGGCCUAGAAUUCCUAGGCUUCCUGAAAGAUAUCAAACCCCAACUUUGUUUUUGCAGAUAUUCAUAUGUAUUCUUGGGCAAGAUUUCUUUCCCUGGGCUAGAUGUCCCAAGGACCACACUCCUCUGUCCCUUUCAAAGAAAAGACAGACCUCACUGGGAAGUCCUGGAUUGUGUCCACUGCUGCUGUCACCGGAGUCUGACCCCAGCCCUGCCCAUCUCCAGGGAUCGCAGAACCUGCCAGCCAACUUCCUUUGAGUCAGCCGGUCAGGGCUGCAUCUUAGAAGCCAAGCUGCUUUGGUGUGAUUUCUGAAGUCUGUGCAUUUGCCUUAACUGUCAGGCCACUGGCUUCCCUGAGACUGGCUUCUGCCGUUUGCUCCCUGACAGUGAUAGUGAUAGCAGGACAGACUAACAGUCGGAGCACCCUGUGCAUCUCUUUCCAAGGAAUCCAUCCAUGGCAGGGACUGUGGAGCGCUCUCAAAGACAGCCACUUUGCAGGCAUUUAGUAGGACAUGGGCUCACCUCUUGCCUCCUCUUCUGCCUUUCCUUCCAGCUCCUUGCCCUUUACAAUAGCUGAAGAUUUUUUUAAGUGGAGCUGCUGAUAAUUAAAAUUAUAUCUUUUUUCCACCAAUGUCUGAAACUCUGGGAAGUCAUUAUCAGAGUCAGACAGUGAUAUUUUGAUAUCCCAGGAUCUUUUUGAUAUAAGGAAUAAAGUUCUAAGGCAUGAGAAGAUAGAGAGCCAUGCUAUUUCCUAAUCACCCUUUAUAAUUUGCAGUAUCUUGGGACGCUUCUCAGAUGUUUCCACUGUGGCUUAUGUACACUUCAAACCCAUGUGCCAUUAAAUGCAGAAGCUAGGUACUGAAUUAAUAAAGGUAGCUUCAAAAGCCCACCUCUUUGGCAGGCUGAAGAUCUAAGGGCAAACUCAAAGAGGGUGAUGGGCCUUUGAAAAUUACUAAGCACAAACAAUAAACCUCAUUAAAUAAAGGCAGCAGAGUGGGCUCAGAAAUGUAAUGAACCAAGCGGGGGACCAACAGCACUGGAAUCAGCCUGGGAAUUAACAUAUCAGGGAGCUGAGGCUCAGGUUGAAAGAAGGGAUUGUGUUUUGGAAAAUCAUGUGACUCCUAUUGAAACAAUGCUGAGGACAGUGGUUGGGAGGAUGCUGGGGCAGCGCUGGGCACAGGCAGGCCGCUGUGGUGCUGGGACUGGGGGACGCUCAUGUUUGCAGUCGUCUACUCUCUCACUCACCCUAGUGGCUUCAGUAGAGUCUACAGAAGGCAGAGUAUUUGGGCAGGGCCUGUAAAGAAAGAGAAAAGCUGAUAGAAGCUGCUUGGCCAUCGAAAUGAACUCCUUUUGCCAGGAUGUGCAGCCACGGGACUCCCACAGCACCCCUCCAGGUGCCUUCUGUCCACAGCCAGGGAGCAGAAAACUGGAGGGAUUUGGUCACCAUUAAAUGGCAAAGUGCUUGAUGAGAUCCUGUUGAAAAUUGAGCAGCAGAUUGGACAAUUAGAGUGCCAGACCAGCACGUGGAGUUUUCAGAAAUAGAUGGGAGUUGCUGGAUAAUAGGUCACAUUAGGCCACCACAGGAGCACGCAGGACUGCUCAGUCUCUGAGCCCCAAGCUCUUCCCUCUAGACUCUGGCAUGGCCAGUACAAGCCCUUUCUCGGCUAUUGUUGCUGGUCAGGGCUGACUGUCUUAGGUAUGAGGCACUCUCGGAAGGCUGCUCAGGAAGAAGACCCUUUCUCUUUCAUGAACCUGCCGGGAGCCAGAAACCAUUCUCCUCCCACUUUCACCCCUCAGCUCUAUCCCCACCUCCCCAAUAAUUUUAUCUUCAUUUUAACUCAAGAAUUUAACUACAGAGAUUGCACUGACCCAUCCCCCUAGAAUGAAAGGACACAAGAUCCUCCACCAGAUAGUUAUUUGUGAUUGUGGCUGGGGGUUUAUUUAAACUAAUUUUAUUAUUCAUGACACUGACAAUUUAUGCAGUGAAUGCAAUUAGAGGCUAUGAUUGGCUGCCACAGCUAAGGGCUAAAAGUGCCACUUCCUUGGAUAUGCAAGGAAGAAAGGCGAAGAAUGUUAGAAAAAUAAUCAGUCACGGAGAUAUUUUUUAUGAAGUGAUUCCCACAAACCUUGAUUUUUAAAAAAAGCUAAUUUAAUUUCCCUAACACCCUGCAAAAGAUAUCUAAUUAUCCACUCUUAAAUUGCUCUCAUAAUUUUUCCAAAGUUCUCUAUUGUUUAUGCCUUUGUGAGUUCUCCUUGUCUACAAGCAAAGAAGCUGUCGUCUCAAUGUGCAGGUUCCAAUAAAACGUACUGAAACUGAUUCUUCCCGAAGCUGUGCAUAGAAGCCCUGAUGUGGCCUGUAAUAUAUUUGUCCAUUUAACCAGGAAAUAUUUGAGAAACAAGACUUGAGUGGUAAUCAUUUAGAGUUCUGGGAGGAGAAGAGGGAAUUGACUUUUUUUCUUCUCCUUUUUUUUUCCAAGAAGAACAAUUUUUAAAAAAUCAUUGGACAUCAAACCAAAACAAAUCAUGGUGCCUCCACACAAUGGGAUAUUCCUCAGCAGUAGAAAGGAAUGGACUACUGAUCACGCAGUAAUGAUGACGAAUGUCAAUGUAAUUAUGCCAAGUGAAAGAAGCCAGCCAAAAGGUUCAUAUUAUGUGAUUUUAUUUAUAUGAAGUAUUUUUUAAAAAGGCAAACUAGUCUUUCAAGACAAAAAGCAGAUCCCUGGGUACU
rnacentral:lncRNA from 1 species